AAAUUGAAGAGUUUGAUCAUGGCUCAGAUUGAACGCUGGCGGCAGGCCUAACACAUGCAAGUCGAACGGUAACAGGAAGAAGCUUGCUUCUUUGCUGACGAGUGGCGGACGGGUGAGUAAUGUCUGGGAAACUGCCUGAUGGAGGGGGAUAACUACUGGAAACGGUAGCUAAUACCGCAUAACGUCGCAAGACCAAAGAGGGGGACCUUCGGGCCUCUUGCCAUCGGAUGUGCCCAGAUGGGAUUAGCUAGUAGGUGGGGUAACGGCUCACCUAGGCGACGAUCCCUAGCUGGUCUGAGAGGAUGACCAGCCACACUGGAACUGAGACACGGUCCAGACUCCUACGGGAGGCAGCAGUGGGGAAUAUUGCACAAUGGGCGCAAGCCUGAUGCAGCCAUGCCGCGUGUAUGAAGAAGGCCUUCGGGUUGUAAAGUACUUUCAGCGGGGAGGAAGGGAGUAAAGUUAAUACCUUUGCUCAUUGACGUUACCCGCAGAAGAAGCACCGGCUAACUCCGUGCCAGCAGCCGCGGUAAUACGGAGGGUGCAAGCGUUAAUCGGAAUUACUGGGCGUAAAGCGCACGCAGGCGGUUUGUUAAGUCAGAUGUGAAAUCCCCGGGCUCAACCU
rnacentral:rRNA from 1 species